rnacentral:rRNA from 1 species
UACGGGGGAGCAAGCGUUGUUCGGAUUACUGGGCGUAAGGGCGCGUAGGCGGUCAGCACAAGUCAAUUGUGAAAUCUCCGAGCUUACUCGGAAAGGUCAACUGAAACUGUGCGACUAGAGUGCGGAAGGGCAACUGGAAUUCUUGGUGUAGCGGUGAAAUGCGUAGAUAUCAAGAGGAACACCGUGCGGCGAAGGCGGGUUGCUGGGCCGACACGUGACGCUGAAGCGCGAAGCCAGGGAGCAACAGG